rnacentral:rRNA from 1 species
CCUGGUUGAUCCUACCAGUAGUCAUAUGCUUGUCUCAAAGACUAACCCAUGCAUGUCUAAGUAUGAACUAAUUCAAACAAUGAAACUACGAAUGGCUCAUUAAAUCAGUUAUAAUUUUUAUGAUAGUACCAUACUACUCUGAUAACCGUAACAAUUCUAGAGCUAAUACCUGCACCAAGUUUUGAAUCUUUGGAAGGGAUGCAUUUUUAGAUAAAAGGUUGGUGCAAGCUUGCCCACUUUUCUGGUGAAUCAUGAUAACGCGAUGGAUCACACAACCCUUGUGCUGGUGAUGCUUCAUUCAAAUUUCUUCCCUAUCAACUUUCGAUGGUAGGAUAGAGACCCACCAUGGUGGUCAUGGGUGAUGGAGAAUUAGAGUUUGAUUUAGGAGAGGGAGCUUGAGAAACAGUUACCAUGAGAAACAACUACCACAUCUAAGGAAGGUAGGAGGCAUGCAAAUUACCCAAUCUUGACAUGGGGAGGUAGUGACAAUAAAUAACAAUAUUGGGCUCAUCAAUUCUAGUAAUUGGAAUGAGUACAAUCAAAUUCCCUUAACGAGGAUCCAUUGGAGGGCACGUCUGGUGCCAAUAGCCAUGGUAAUUACAGCUCCAAUAGCAUAUAUUUAAGUGUUGCUGUUAAAAAUCUUGUAGUUGGAUCUUGGAUCAUAAAAGUUAGUCCGUCUACUCCAUGUGCACUACCCUUCCGUUCCUUUUGUCGGCAGCAUGCUCCUGGCCUUAAUUGGCUAGGUCGCAGCUCCGGCGUUGUUACUUUGAAAAAAUUAGAGUGUUCAAAGCAAGCUUAUGGCUUGAAUACAUUAGCAUGGAAUAAUGUGAUAGGAGUCUGGUCUAUUCUGUUGGCCUUUGGGACCGGAGUAAUGAUUGAUAGGGACUAUUAGGGGCAUUCAUAUUUCAUUGUCAGAGGUGAAAUUCUUGGAUUUAUGAACGACAAACCACUACAAAAGCAUUUGCCAAGGAUAUUUCCAUUAAUCAAGAAUGAAAUUUAGCGGCUCGAAGAUGAUCACAUACUAUCCUAGUCAUAACCAUAAAUGAUGUUGACCAGAGAUCAAUGGAUAUUUCUCUAAGGACUCCCCCAACACCUUUUGAGAAAUCAGAGUGUUUGGGUUCCAGGGGGAGUAUGGUCUCAAGGAUGAAACUUAAAGGAAUUUAUGGAAGGGCACCACCACGAGUGGAACCUGCAACUUAAAUUCACUCAACAUGGGGAAACUUACCAUGUCCAGACAUAGUAAGGAUUGACAAAUUGAGAGCUCUUUCUUCAUUCUAUGGGUGGUGGUGCAUGGACGUUCUUAGUUGGUGGAGUGAUUUGUUUGGUUAAUUCUGAUAACGAAUGAGACCUCAGCCUGCUAACUAGAUACGCAUAGGUUCCCCUUCAUGUUCAGCUUCCUAGAGGGACUAUGACCAUUUAGGCCAUGGAAGUUUGAUGAAAUAAUAGGUAUGUACUGCCCUUAGAUGUUUUCGCCGCACACGUGCUACAUUGAUGUAGCCAACAAGUUUUUCUUCCUGGUUCAAGAGGAUCAGGAAAUCUUCUCAAAUUGAAUUGUGAUGGAGAUAGACCAUUGCAUUUAUUGGUAUUCAACAAGGAAUUGCUAGUAAGAGCAUGUCAUCAACUUGUGUUGACUACAUCCCUGUCCUUUGUGCACACUACUCGUCACUCCUACCGAUUGAAUGAUAUGGUGAAGUGAUCGGAUUGCUUAAAAAAUGGUGGUUCGUCGUCGUUGACAUCAUGAGAAGUUAAUUAAAGGUUAUCAUUUAGAGGAAGGAAAAGUUGUAAAAAGGUUACCAUAGGUGAACCUGCAAUAG